AGAAGACUGUGACUCACACCUCGAAUAGACCGUCUUUCUUUUUGCAAGGAGGAGGCCCGGAAGGAUGUCUCACUGGGAUCUCGGGGAGCACAUGAGACAGCAGAGGCACCCAGGAAGAGGUGGGAGAGGUGGGUGAGCCCAGAUGUGCAGGACUCACAGGGCUUCCAGCACAGCCAGCAGGGACCUUUAUGUCCAGCUGCCCUACUGGGAAGUACAGCAAUAAGUCAUGGGCAAAAGUACAUGUACCACAGUCACCUGGGAAGGAGGGGGUUGGGAACAAAUUCUACAUGGAGGAGCUCUCCUUGACAUGUUGUUCCCAUGCAGUGGUGAAGUAAGACCAAUGAGAAGUACAUCGUAAUUCACUAUAGCAAAUGUUAACCAUUUCUGGAAAAGGGAAGUCCUGCCAACUAACUACUGGUGCAGCUGUUAAGCUGGGUUGGUGGAGGCCUGUAGCUGCUGCAAGGUGUUUGUGUUUUCAGGUUUCCUUCUACAGCAUGAGGGCCCCUACUUCCCUUUCUGGAUGCCCCUACACUUCAGUAACUCAAUAUGGAGGAGAUUUCUCUGCUCCCAAACACCAGCAGGAAGAGAGAAACUGUGAAGGCAGUCGGUCUGCAUCACAGUUGUUGUGGUCACCCCCGCACUGUGUCCCUGUCCACACCAUGCCACCCAUGAUGGCGUGGCAGCCACUUUUCACCUGCAAGGACACCGAUCGUAGGUAAAUAUUUAUUUUCGAAAAUUGCUUCCUAAAACAGGACAUGAUACGGGACUGGCUGGGUUUGAGCUCAAGCUGACUCAUGAGGAAGCAAGACUAACAUUUUCCUAGAGGGUGAACUCAAAAUUCCACAAGCUCAGCCUCCCACCGUCUGAGCACAGUGCAAACUUUGCUAUCCUCCUGAAAAGUUG
rnacentral:lncRNA from 1 species